GGCUAAGCUAAUCUCUUAAAGCCGUUCUCAGUUCGGAUUGUAGGCUGCAACUCGCCUACAUGAAGUUGGAAUCGCUAGUAAUCGCGGAUCAGCAUGCCGCGGUGAAUACGUUCCCGGGCCUUGUACACACCGCCCGUCACACCAUGAGAGUUUGUAACACCCAAAGUCGGUGGGGUAACCUUUUAGGAGCCAGCCGCCUAAGGUGGGACAGAUGAUUAGGGUGAAGUCGUAACAAGGUAGCCGUAGGAGAACCUGCGGCUGGAUCA
rnacentral:rRNA from 1 species